GGUGCACACGGCCGGGUCCGUCACAACACACAACACGACUACAAACGGGGAUAUAUAUGGCACAGGACCGGCUCACCAUGUCCAUGUCCACCGUCAAGCACCAGCUACACCCAUCAAGUCAAGUCAAGUUUGGGGGCUUCAGUGCCUUGGCGUUUCAGGUGCUUGUCGAGAUACGUCUUCAAUGGAAAAUCGCAAAAGAGAUCUACCAAGGAAGUUAGUAAUAUAAACGCCCCCCAAAUAUCCAGAGUCCUGAGUUUCUCACCUCGGCGGAAAAACGAUUUUUUUCUCGAUCGUAUCUACGGGCACUUCACGGCCUACCAUCGAUAGAGCUGGAGGCCUCCUCGGACUGACUUUGAGCCCCACCACGGGGCAUGGACUUAACAUCGGAGUCGAUCCCUUGCCUGGGAUCGCUCCAACCGUAGUCUGCGGACUUUACAUCAAGAGCUCAUUGUCUCGGGAGAGGCUAGUUGGGCGUACCAAUGACGCAGAAGCUCGACCAAUCCCGACAUGGGUGAGAUCACCCGGCGUAGGGGAGGCUAACAUCCCCCCGAUGCGGAAGCCGAAUGCCCCGAUGUGGAGUGCUAAAACACCGCCGGCUACAGGAGUAAGAUCGUCCCGUCAACGGAGGGCUCGAGGAGAGCAAAGAAGGAAAGAGAUUUGAACUAUUUUUUCGCCUUCAUCACAGUGAGGAAUGUGGAGCAGUCACUGUGGUGGAUGUUUAUGUUAAAAUGUAUUUUGUGUGUUCCGUUUCUUUUUAUUUGUAUGACGGACUUGGCAAAUGAAAUUCCUCGUAUGUUGCAAAACAUAAUUGGCUAAUAAAGCAUUAUUGUGAUUGCGAUUGUGAUUGUUAUCGUGAACUCCUGGAAUUGUGUCAAUGAAGCAAUUUUGACAAUGUUUUUUUUAAUGCUUAUGUGACUGCACAAAGGUGAAAUGUGAUUAUGUAAAUAUACGAACCGGCAGUAUUUUUCCUACUGAUAUGGGGUUCAAAUUCACUGCAACCGCAACGUUCCAAACGAUCGCGUUCCACAAAAUCCCACUCGCAAGGUG